CUACAUGAAGCUGGAAUCGCUAGUAAUCGCGGAUCAGAAUGCCGCGGUGAAUACGUUCCCGGGUCUUGUACACACCGCCCGUCACACCAUGGGAGUCGGAAAUGCCCGAAGUCAGUGACCCAACCACAACGUGAACUUUGUUCACGUGGAGGGAGCUGCCGAAGGUGGAGCCGGUAACUGGGGUGAAGUCGUAACAAGGUACC
rnacentral:rRNA from 1 species